rnacentral:rRNA from 1 species
UACAGAGGGGGCAAGCGUUGUUCGGAAUUACUGGGCGUAAAGGGCGCGUAGGCGGCCUGUUAAGUCGAACGUGAAAUCCCUGGGCUCAACCCAGGAACUGCGUCCGAUACUGGCAGGCUUGAAUUCGGGAGAGGGAUGUGGAAUUCCAGGUGUAGCGGUGAAAUGCGUAGAUAUCUGGAGGAACACCGGUGGCGAAGGCGGCAUCCUGGACCGAUAUUGGCGCUGAGGCGCGAAAGCCAGGGGAGCAAACGGG